UCUCUCUUUCUCUCUCCCCCCCCGGAGGCUUGUUUCCCCCAUUGGUUGCAGGCAACGGACAGGCUGGGUUAAUGCACAUGCCCACCUCAGCAACAAUUAGCAGACAUAUUUCAGUUUGUCCUUCAUAACAUGAAAUAUAUUAGGAGGUGAGUGAUUUAGAAUAUUGCAGCUCCACGUUGCCAUAAAGCUGGUGGUGAAAUAACAUCUGAUGAACUUGAAUGGACACAUUCCCUGGAGCUGCUUUGAUAUACAGACUCAUUUAUGUGUAUUUGAGCGUUCCCCUACUUAAAUGCAGUCAUUUAAAAGUUAAUUUUUUGUAACUGAUUGAUUCGGCACAGAGCUAAAUAAAGAUGUUACUGAAAUCAAAAUGGUAGAAUCCAAACAAGGGGUUGGGUCUUUGGCGCCCUUGGCCUGAAGGAUGCCAUAUUUCCAUUUGUUUUUGAGCUCUGCCUAGCUGACUGUACGUUUGGUCAGUCACUCUCCAUCGGCGCCGUGUUCUGGACUCUGCUGUUUUUUGCCCCCAGUGUGUUUCCCUGGUGAAGAGCGAGACAGCAGACCUGUGUAUUACUGAAACAAAGGAAGAUGCAAAAGGACAGGAUUGUUAGUGCUGUUCCAUGAAUGGUCGGCUGCCAGGACUGUAUGAGCACUGAUAUUUUUAGCAUCUUUCUCUUCUGCAAAGACAUUGAGUGAGGUUGCUGGUCUGAUAUGUUCUGUUUAUAAGGAGAGUUCUAGUGUGUCUUAUUAAGAGAACUUCAGACGUAGCCGGAAGACCAUACCAAAACAACAAGGGUAAAUAGUCCAGUUUCCUCUGAACACCACCUGCAUGCCAAAAUGAGGAGAGAACAUUGUAACAUUGUCCACUCCUAUUGGUAUGGCACCAGAAUGGGGACCGAAGUGUUCUUUGUGAGGUAACUGGUAACAAUGUGUCUGUAAUAUUAGGAUGAACGACGACACCCGAUGUUUUUCGUAGCUUUGCCGUGUGAUUUAGUACACAGAAAUAAAGCUUUAAUUGGCUAAUCAGAGAGGCCAGGCUUUCUCUCCAACUGCUCUCGAUCUCAUCUGAGGAAUCUCUUCGGACCUCUGCUUUGGCACUCUCCUCACGAGAAUGAAUGAAUAAAUGAAUAGCUGAUCCACAAGUGGCAAGAUUACAAGGUGGAGCUGCAGUGUGGUCUGCAAGUCUCUGCAAGUGCUUUGGGCUGCCUCUCAAGUGAAGGGGGGAAAAUGCACUUUCUGGUAAAUAAUUCAGCUGAUGUUCAGCUUUUCCUGCCUGCUUGCCAUCAAAGGUCAAGUAGAUGGACAGCAAAAUGUUUUUGCAUACAAUCAGAAAGCAAAACAUCUGUUGGACUAUUUCCUAUUGUGAUUUAUUAUUAUCCUCUCGCCUAAGCCAACCUAUGGUUUAUUUUUUCCACAUUUGGAUAGUAGUCCAUAUACCAAUCCAAAAUAUACAUUUGCAUCCCAUAGAAAAAGUUUUGUUUUUUUUUAUGUGCUUUUUGAUGUCUGACACCUGAUUCUUCAGUCAUGUUAUUUAAGGCCAGUGAUGUGUAUAAUCUAUCUUUGAAUCAUCAACAAAAUAUUAUCGUAGUUCACCUGAAAAUAUGAUUCCUUAUCUCCCCGCCCCCCCACUCUGUUACACUAGUCAAAGUACAUUGGAGUGGAAUUGUGGGUAUGACAGAUUUAAUACAUUUAUUUGGCCCUUUUCCUCCUACAGUUUUGUUUUCAUAGCUUUUAUGGGGGUGAAUUAGAAAAAGAUAUAUUGAAUGUCAUGUCAGGACUUUCCAUAUUUUUUUAUUUUUUGAAAUGCGUUUCUAUUAAGGAAACGUGCCAUGCUAUUUCAGUGGGGAAGAGCUGUCUGAGCACCCAUAGGCUGAACAGACAUCACAGGGUGCCGUCCUGCCACUAACAUUCGUCCAUGUGGUCUUCAGAUGAAUGGUACAAUUGAGGGCCCUGUUUUAAAGUGACCUCAGAUUGUGGAUCAUUUUUUGCAGUCCAAAGUCUUUUUUAAUUAUUGUUGUUGCUAUUGUUGCUGUUGUUGCUAAUGUUGAUGAUGUUGUUGUUAUUAUUAUUAUUAUUAUUGUUGUUAUUAUUAUUCCAGGUCUAUAAUUGCAGGGCAUGUCCUCUGCUUUCUAAAGGGGCUAUGCAGAUUCUGCAAACAAUACUAAAGAAUAAGGAGAAAUGGGGCCUUGUUGGGGGGCUGCAUUUCUCUUGUCCAAGUUUCAGAAUGUGCAAAGUAUGUUAAAAAAUUUCUUAAGUGUACAAAAGGGAAGAAAAGUGCUUGUACUGCAAGGUCUCUCUAAUUCAUGAUUUAUGUAGAUGUAUUGCUCCAAAAAAAUAAAAUAUAGAAAAAGGAUUGUUUUUAUUUAAA